CUCAGUCAGUGUAGCGGUGCCUGUCAGCCUGCCCCUGCCUCUGCUUCCACGCUACAGCUGCUGCUUCUCCUCCCACUACAGAACAACGAAGCCCAGCCGAGAGGAGAGGGGCUGGACAGAGAGAGGGAGAGAGAGAAAGAAAAAUAGGGACGAGAGCUUUUUCCUCGAGAUUCAGGAUCAUGUUCUAUUGCAGCCAUCCUCAGAAACCCUUAGUGGAGGUUUUUUUUCUCUUUUCCUUUCUCUCUCUCUCUGUCAGACUGCCUAGCAACAUGAGGGACUAGCCGCAGCACUAUCACCACAGCUCGGCUCUGUCGUCCCUCAGCACUGCUUUCCUUUCCUUCAGCAGAGCAGGCUGAGGAUAACAGAUGCAUAAAAGAGCAGUGAAGAGGAAACAAAUGGUACAGUGAAGGCUUCUGUUUUAUUUUCGGGCACAUUAAAUAAGGGAAGUGAGGACAGGAGGAGAAAGAGAGAGACCGGUGAGACCGUUGGAGAGAUAGGAAAGGUGUAGUGCUGAGACAAGGAUUGAAAAGAGGGGAGAAAGAACCCUAAACCUGUAGUCUUGGUGAGGCAGAGGAGGAGAGGAGAAGACACAGGCUGUGGAACGCACUGUGACAAAUGGAUGAGUGUUACACCAACAAUAAUACAUCCAGACCCGGGCGAAGGGGAUGUGUGUUGCGUGAUUAGGCAGACAGGGUGGAAGUGGACAUUACCCCAAAUUUCGGAGGAGAGGAGCAGUGUUGGUGUGCCGAGUGUGUCGACAGACGGCACCAGUGAUCACACAGUCCGUCUGCCAGUCACAGGAGGAGAUAAGAGAGGUGAUCCACUAAGAAGGCGACUCCAGUCUCUGAUCUGAAAGAGUCCGUACCUGGAGCAUGAUCCUUGGUGUGUCUGCAGAGCCAGUGAAGAGCCUGGAACCUGCCUCCAUGGCCACAGAGUCAGCACCCUCCUAGCUCUGCCAGGGGACACAAGAAUAGCACGGCGAGGGGGCGCAACCAUCCCACUCCUAGCUCUGUGUGGGGCCUCAAGCAACCCCUUUCUAGCUCUGCCAGGGAGCCUUGUACAUCCCUAUUAGGUCCGCCAGGGGGCUCACUCACACCUAUCUGUCAGCUCAGAUAACCCUCUGGCUGUUGGCAAACACAUGUUUGACGUGAUCAAAUGUGACCGCCGCCGCGCCAUCCAGAGCAGCUGCAGCCCCCUGCU
rnacentral:lncRNA from 1 species